GGGAGUGGCAGGACCGGCGGUUUGUCGCUGAGCUUUGCAGAGUUCUGCCAACAGUGAUGCCCGGCGUCCCCUGUCUCCGGCCACUUGAGGAAUUCCAACCAUUCCAGGCAGGAAAACCCACUUCAACUCCAGAGGUACAAACAACAAAGACACACAAAAGCUACCCCUGGAACAGAGAGAAAGGAAGCCAGGACCGGGGCCCGGCACCUGCUGCUCAGGGGCGCGCGCGUACGUCAGACGGAAGGUCAGGAAGCCCCGCAGUCCUGCCCCCGGGCUCCCUCCUAGCACCCUGCCAAGCACGCUGCCCCCGGGCUCCGUCCCAGCACCCCGCCAUCGGGAGGCUGGCUGACUAGGACAAAGGCCUAGCUGAGACGGUGCCGCGGGUAAUGGGAGCAGAACCUCGGUGGCUCACCAGCUAUUUUCAUCCCUGAGGAGAAAGCAUCGGUGUCAGCGUUGAACCAGCUGCGGCUUCCACAGGAUGUCAGACGGAGACAGAUUCCUGACAAAGGAUGGGCUUGCUCCAAGAAUGCCUUUGAGCAUAUUGCUCUGCUGUGCACGAGAAGCUCCACGUGGCUCUGGGACCCGAAGCUGCAGGUCCUCCGGCUGUGCCCCCGAGUGGCCUGGCUCCCUGUGCCUUAGCCUGCCGGCACCUGCCGUGUUCUGCCUGGAGCUGCCCGCUGGCCACGCCUCGAUGAUGAGCUGGCUGCAUAGACACCACAGCCUCCUCAUGUCUCGGAUGCUUGUGCCCCAGCCCUCACCGCAUGGCCCGCCUCUGCAGGAGCCAAGGCAUCAGCUGUCUGCCCUUCUUCUGCAAACAAUGCCACACAAGAGACACAAUCACAGCUAA
rnacentral:lncRNA from 1 species